UUCUUUUUCCAAGGUCCUGGAUCAUCUUCACUCUCAUUAUUCUGAAUUCUUUUUCUGGAAGGUUGCGUAUCUCCACUUCAUUUAGUUAUUUUUCUGGGGUUUUAUCUUGUUCCAUCAUCUGGUACAUAGCCCUCUGCCUUUUCAUCUUGUCUCUCUGUGAAUGUGGUUUUUGUUCCACAGGCUGCAGGAUUGUAGUUCUUCUUGCCUCUGCUGUCUUCCCUCUGGUGGAUGCGGCUAUGUAAGAGGCUUAUGGAAGUUUCCUGAUGGGAGGGACUGGUGGUGGGUAGAGCUGGCUGUUGCUUGGUGGGCAGAGCUCAGUAAAACUUUAAUCAGCUUGUCUGCUGAUGGGUGGGGCUGGGUUCCCUCCCUGUUGGUUGUUUGGCCUGAGGCAACCCAACACUGGAGCCUACACAGGCUCUUUGGUGGUGCUAAUGGCGGACUCUGGGAGGGCUCACACCAAGGAGGACUUCCCAGAACUUCUGCUGCCAGUGUCCUUGUACCUGUGGUGAGCCACAGCUGCCCCCCGCCUCUGCAGGAGACCCUCCAACACUAGCAGGUAGGUCUGGUUCAGUCUCCUACGGGAUCACUCCUCCUUCCCCUGGGUCGUGAUGUGCACACUACUUUGUGUGUGCCCUCCAAGAGUGGAGUCUCUGUUUCCCCCAGUCCUCUCAAAGUCCUGCAAUCAAAUCCCGCUAGCCUUCAAAGUCUGAUUCUCUAGGAAUUCCUCCUCCCGUUGCCGGACCCCCAGGUUGGGAAGCCUGACGUGGGGCUCAGAACCUUCACUCCAGUGGGUGGACUUCUGUGGUAUAAGCAUUCUCCAGUUGUGAGUCACCUACCUAGCAGUUAUGGGAUUUGAUUUUAUCGUGAUUGCACCCCUCCUACCGUCUCAUUGUGGCUUCUCCUUUGUCUUUGGAUGUGGGGUAUCUUUUUUGGUGAGUUCCAGUGUCUUCCUGUCGAUGAUUGUUCAGCAGUUAGUUGUGAUUCCAGUGCUCUCACAAGAGGGAGUGAGAGCACGUCCUUCCGCUCUGCCAUCUUGAACCGAUCCUCGAUCUUGGAUUUCUAACCUCCAGAACGCUCUGAUGAACAUACACCAGUAGAGGACAAGAGCCAAAGAAAAGCACCACUUCAGCUUCUACUUCAGAAGAAGAAAAGAAGAAGGAGAAGUCUAGUCAUUCAAAAGAAAGAUCCAAGAAAAGGAGGAAGAAAAAAUCAUGUAAAAGAAAACACAAGAAGUAUUCUGACGAUAGUGACAGUGACUCUGAUUCUGAAACAGACUCCAGUGAUGAAGAUACAAAGGAAAGCAAAAAAAAAGCCCAGCAAAAGAAAAAGAAGAAACACAGAUGAUCAGCCUGGCAGUUUCACAUGAGGAAGACAGCAUGAAGAAAGCCAAGAACUCCACUAAGAGACCACUACGUAAACCCAGGAGAAGCAAGUCACCAGAACUUCAGUGUUUCUUUUCCUCUGAGUUUGCUUUUCCUGCUUGAGAAAGCAGAGGCCUGCGCCUCCCAAGCCCUGGCCAGACCUGACUGUGAGCCCAGCCAGUGGCCUUAGGCUGCCAGCACUGCUUUCCAGACCCCACCACCAGCUCUGCAGCACGUGUCCAUCACUGCCCUUACACACGCUCUCUGCAGCAAAGCUAAUAAUAAGCUCAUCCUGAUUUUUCCUCCUACCAAUACUUCCUUGAUGCAACCUAACAUUUUCUGUGAUCUCAAGUAGUCACCUCUUGAUUCCAUGACCUAGAAAUAAGUCAUCCCUGCUUGAGGAAAUGAAAAAGUACUUCAAAUUAACACAGGUCCAAAUCUACCCUGAAUUGACAGCCACCCCACCAGCACCAAAAAGUUCCACAAAACCCACUUGUUCCUAAUUGUACCACCAAAAGGGAAAAACGUCCUUAGAUGAGAAGUUCCUCAAGAGAAUAUUCAUUUAUGCAUUUGGUAGUUUUUAACAUUGAUUUUGUGUGAUAUCUCCAAGGCAUAUUUUGACAACAUAUUAGAAUUCCCAUUUUCACCCUUUUUGGGUCAGUAGAAUUUUAUCCAUAAUUGUUCUUUUUUGUUUUUGUUUUUUUAGACGACUUUAGGGCUACCACUCCCUACUUUGCUUUACCAAAUGCUGAAAAACAACAGCAGGAGGACUUGAACUUUAAGCUCUCAACCCCAUCCGUCUCAUUGCAACUAAACAGAUGCUAGUUACUCCUAUCGUGUGUUCUCUGGACCAAUUACUCCCUUACACCAGUGCUGAAAUAUUUACAGAAUCAUUCAUUUUACCUCAGAGUUUAUGCUUGGUUUUGAAUAUUUUAAAUAAUUUAGCACUGUUGAACCCUCUUAUAACCCAGCUCCUCAGUGCAUUAAUGUAAAUACUUCCAGGUCAGAUUGAGUCCCAACAUGACUGCAUGGAAGAUAGAAGUAUUGCUUUAAGGAGGGCUAACAUCCUCCCUAAAGGAUACAUGUGUUAGGAGGACUUGAAUUUUAUUGGAAAAAACAUAUCUAUAUAUAUUCAGAUGGAUAGAUACCACAGGUGUAGGAAAAGUGGCUCUGUUCUAUUUUUUCUUAUUUGGGAAUGAUGGGCAGUUUCCAUAAACUGUAAUUUACUGAUCCCAUUUACUACCCCUUAAAGCCCCCAAAGUUCAAAAACUUAUUUUCCAAUCAUGGAAAAGGCAAUAAAAACAAACCAACCUGAGAAUGUCCAUGACAAAGAUGUCCAAGUCCCAAAGCAGGUUUUAGGGUGGCUGCCCUGCCAGGUUUUUUUUCAGGUUUACUCACCUGCACCCUGGCUUCAGUAUCAUCCAUGUGUCUUGCAAGCUCCUUUCUGAGAGAAGAAAAUCACAAAUGUUCAGUAUUCUGAGAUGUGGAUGAAAUUAAAUAUAUGGAUGU